UAGUGGCGAACGGGUGAGUAACACGUGGGCAAUCUGCCCUUCACUCUGGGACAAGCCCUGGAAACGGGGUCUAAUACCGGAUAAUACCUGCCUGGGCAUCUGGGUGGGUUGAAAGCUCCGGCGGUGAAGGAUGAGCCCGCGGCCUAUCAGCUUGUUGGUGAGGUAGUGGCUCACCAAGGCGACGACGGGUAGCCGGCCUGAGAGGGCGACCGGCCACACUGGGACUGAGACACGGCCCAGACUCCUACGGGAGGCAGCAGUGGGGAAUAUUGCACAAUGGGCGAAAGCCUGAUGCAGCGACGCCGCGUGAGGGAUGACGGCCUUCGGGUUGUAAACCUCUUUCAGCAGGGAAGAAGCGAAAGUGACGGUACCUGCAGAAGAAGCGCCGGCUAACUACGUGCCAGCAGCCGCGGUAAUACGUAGGGCGCAAGCGUUGCNCGGAAUUAUUGGGCGUAAAGAGCUCGUAGGCGGCUUGUCACGUCGGGUGUGAAAGCCCGGGGNCUUAACCCCGGGUCUGCAUUCGAUACGGGCUAGCUAGAGUGUGGUAGGGGAGAUCGGAAUUCCU
rnacentral:rRNA from 1 species